CAUGAUUCAAUUAUUUAUCUGGGUAAUCAGCUAUUAUGCUCUUAUACGCAAGUUUAAUAUAUUUGUUUGUAGGCCAGACUGCAGCUGCAUAUGGCAUUUUAGCAAUAAUCUUCAAUUGUGUUUCAGAUAUUCACAAAGUCUAUCCACCUUUGUAAUUAACACAUUAUGUGUUUCUUAUACCAUUAAUUAUAGUAUCUGUAUUAUAU